ACCUAGUAGAAGGGGAUAGCCCGGGGAAACUCGGAUUAAUACCGUAUACCUCCUUCGGGAGAAAGAAGGCCUCUCUUUGAAGCUUUCGCUACUAGAUGAGCCUGCGUAAGAUUAGCUUGUUGGUGAGGUAAAGGCUCACCAAGGCGACGAUCUUUAGCGGGUCUGAGAGGACGAUCCGCCACAUUGGGACUGAGACACGGCCCAGACUCCUACGGGAGGCAGCAGUGAGGAAUAUUGGACAAUGGGCGCAAGCCUGAUCCAGCCAUACCGCGUGUGUGAAGAAGGCCCUAGGGUUGUAAAGCACUUUAAGUUGGGAAGAAAAGUUAUUGGUUAAUACCCAAUAGCCGUGACAUUACCAUCAGAAUAAGGACCGGCUAAUUCCGUGCCAGCAGCCGCGGUAAUACGGAAGGUCCAAGCGUUAAUCGGAAUUACUGGGCGUAAAGCGCGCGUAGGUGGUUUAUUAAGUUGGAUGUGAAAUCCCCGGGCUCAACCUGGGAACUGCAUCCAAAACUGAUUCACUAGAGUACGAUAGAGGGAGGUAGAAUUCACAGUGUAGCGGUGGAAUGCGUAGAUAUUGUGAAGAAUACCAAUGGCGAAGGCAGCCUCCUGGAUCUGUACUGACACUGAGGUGCGAAAGCGUGGGUAGCGAACAGGAUUAGAUACCCUGGUAGUCCACGCCGUAAACGAUGUCAACUAGCUGUUGGGGAACUAUGUUCUUCAGUGGCGCAGCUAACGUAGUAAGUUGACCGCCUGGGGAGUACGGCCGCAAGGCUAAAACUCAAAUGAAUUGACGGGGACCCGCACAAGCGGUGGAGCAUGUGGUUUAAUUCGAUGCAACGCGAAAAACCUUACCUAUACUUGACAUACCUGGAAUGCUUUGUAAUGAAGUAGUGCCUUCGGGAGCCAGGAUACAGGUGCUGCAUGGCUGUCGUCAGCUCGUGUCGUGAGAUGUUCCGUUAAGUCGGAUAACGAGCGCAACCCUUACCCUUAUUUGCCAGCGAUUCGGUCGGGAACUAUAAGGGGACUGCCGGUGAUAAACCGGAGGAAGGUGAGGACGACGUCAAGUCAUCAUGGCCCUUACGUAUAGGGCUACACACGUGCUACAAUGGGGAAUACAGACGGACGCUAAGCCGCGAGGUGGUGCUAAUCCUAGAAAAUUCUUCGUAGUCCGGAUUGGAGUCUGCAACUCGACUCCAU
rnacentral:rRNA from 1 species